rnacentral:rRNA from 1 species
GACGAACGCUGGCGGCGUGCUUAACACAUGCAAGUCGAACGGAAAGGCCCUGCUUGCAGGGUACUCGAGUGGCGAACGGGUGAGUAACACGUGGGUGAUCUGCCCUGCACUUCGGGAUAAGCCUGGGAAACUGGGUCUAAUACCGGAUAGGAGCCAUUUUUAGGGUGAUGGUUGGAAAGUUUUUUCGGUGUAGGAUGAGCUCGCGGCCUAUCAGCUUGUUGGUGGGGUAAUGGCCUACCAAGGCGGCGACGGGUAGCCGGCCUGAGAGGGUGGACGGCCACAUUGGGACUGAGAUACGGCCCAGACUCCUACGGGAGGCAGCAGUGGGGAAUAUUGCACAAUGGGCGCAAGCCUGAUGCAGCGACGCCGCGUGGGGGAUGACGGCCUUCGGGUUGUAAACUCCUUUCGCUAGGGACGAAGCUUUUUGUGACGGUACCUAGAUAAGAAGCACCGGCUAACUACGUG